rnacentral:rRNA from 1 species
AUGAACGCUGGCGGCGUGCUUAACACAUGCAAGUCGAACGAAGAAGGUUAGAAUGAGAGCUUCGGCAGGAUUUCUUUCCAUCUUAGUGGCGGACGGGUGAGUAACGUGUGGGCAACCUGCCCUGUACUGUGGAAUAAUCAUUGGAAACGAUGACUAAUACCGCAUGUGGUCCUCGGAAGGCAUCUUCUGAGGAAGAAAGGAUUUAUUCGGUACAGGAUGGGCCCGCAUCUGAUUAGCUAGUUGGUGAGAUAACAGCCCACCAAGGCGACGAUCAGUAGCCGACCUGAGAGGGUGAUCGGCCACAUUGGGACUGAGACACGGCCCAAACUCCUACGGGAGGCAGCAGUGGGGAAUAUUGCACAAUGGGCGAAAGCCUGAUGCAGCAACGCCGCGUGAAGGAUGAAGGGUUUCGGCUCGUAAACUUCUAUCAAUAGGGAAGAAACAAAUGACGGUACCUAAAUAAGAAGCCCCGGCUAACUACGUGCCAGCAGCCGCGGUAAUACGUAGGGGGCAAGCGUUAUCCGGAAUUACUGGGUGUAAAGGGAGCGUAGGCGGCAUGGUAAGCCAGAUGUGAAAGCCUUGGGCUUAACCCGAGGAUUGCAUUUGGAACUAUCAAGCUAGAGUACAGGAGAGGAAAGCGGAAUUCCUAGUGUAGCGGUGAAAUGCGUAGAUAUUAGGAAGAACACCAGUGGCGAAGGCGGCUUUCUGGACUGAAACUGACGCUGAGGCUCGAAAGCGUGGGGAGCAAACAGGAUUAGAUACCCUGGUAGUCCACGCCGUAAACGAUGAGUGCUAGGUGUCGGGGAGGAAUCCUCGGUGCCGCAGCUAACGCAAUAAGCACUCCACCUGGGGAGUACGACCGCAAGGUUGAAACUCAAAGGAAUUGACGGGGGCCCGCACAAGCGGUGGAGCAUGUGGUUUAAUUCGAAGCAACGCGAAGAACCUUACCAGGGCUUGACAUAUAAAGUAAUAUUUAAGAGAUUAAAUAGCUCUUCGUAGACUUUAUACAGGUGGUGCAUGGUUGUCGUCAGCUCGUGUCGUGAGAUGUUGGGUUAAGUCCCGCAACGAGCGCAACCCUUAUCUUCAGUAGCCAUCAUUCAGUUGGGCACUCUGGAGAGACUGCCGUGGAUAACACGGAGGAAGGUGGGGAUGACGUCAAAUCAUCAUGCCCCUUAUGUCUUGGGCUACACACGUGCUACAAUGGCUGGUAACAAAGUGACGCGAGACGGCGACGUUAAGCAAAUCACAAAAACCCAGUCCCAGUUCGGAUUGUAGUCUGCAACUCGACUACAUGAAGCUGGAAUCGCUAGUAAUCGCGAAUCAGCAUGUCGCGGUGAAUACGUUCCCGGGCCUUGUACACACCGCCCGUCACACCAUGGGAGUUGGAAGUACCCGAAGUCGGUGACCUAACCGUAAGGAAGGAGCCGCCGAAGGUGAAGCCAGUGACUGGGGUG